rnacentral:lncRNA from 12 species
AAGGUACUCACAAGGUAGUAACAUCUAGUCUACUUUCUCUUCUUUUACAGUAGAAAUGACAUAAAGUGAUGUAAUUUCCUGCCAGAGAUCUGAAGUUUCAAACACGGUGUAUCAUUUGAGAAGUAUAACUAAAACUAUUCAAAUAAUGCAAAACAAGGUUAUCACCUCAAUUUCACAAAUGUUCUUCAUGGAAGCCUAGGAAGUAAACCUGGGUCAUGGAGGACAUGGUUCCAAUGCUCAGUUUCUUUUGAAAAAUUUUCAUCCAAACAUGAAUUCACAGAGACAGAUUAACAACUUGUGGAGAUAAUGAUCACAUGCUUUACUUGCAUCUUUAUGGUACUACAAGACCCCAUUCUCUGAACAAGAAGCACAGCAAAAACACUGAAGGAAAAUAAUGUUGGUUUAAUGCAAAUUUCAGUGUGGAAGAUGAAUGUGAAAGAGUCGAGGAAAGAAACUGAGCCAUGGUGGACCAGCAGGGUUGGAGGAAAAGUGCCAAACGUGAGAACUAUUUAAGAGACAUGAUGUAGUGACUUAUCAAGUCUUUUUUUUUUUUUUUUGACUUAUCAAGUCUUGUAGAAGAAAACAAGAAACUAUCAAUUCCUGUCUGACAAUUUGGUGGCUGAUGUAGCCAUCAUCUUAUGAGAGUGUUUAAGAGGAGAAGAAUAUUUCCUCUCUCAUGUAUUUUUAUGAAACAUUUUACCCUGAGUGUUCUCAAAGGCAAUUUCAUGUUCGUAAUCUAAAUCUUAGUAGAGAUAAAUG